rnacentral:tRNA from 1 species
GCGGCUGUCGUAUAACGGUAUUACCCGAGCUUCCCAAGCUCGUGACGAGGGUUCGACUCCCUUCAGCCGCUC